rnacentral:lncRNA from 1 species
GAGAGGGAGAGAGAGAGAGAGAGAGAGAGAGAGAGAGAGAGAGAGAGAGAGAGAGAGAGAGAGAAAGAAAUUUUUUUAAAAAAGAAAAUUCUUAAAGAAGUAACUAAGGAUCAGCUUUUUGGUGGUGUUGAACAAGGGAGCCAUUGGAGCACAUAAAACACAGACAGACCCCAGCAUCAUCCAGUUUUCUAAGUUUGGUAAGAUACAGAGUUGGUUAGAAAAUUAGUCCUUUACUAGGUAGAGGACUUAUUAAAUGCCAGAGGCAUUUCAUUCAGCACAACUGAAUUGAUUGUUGAUUGCCUAUUAUAUAUAUAAAAGACAGUAAAGGUGGAAAAUCCUUUUAAAAAUGUAGAAAAAUGUUGAAGAGAUGCUCUUUGGUUAAAAGCACUUGCUGCUCUUACAGAAGACCCAGGUCCCAGGUUCAGUUCUUAUCACCCACAUGGGGCAGCUUACAACUGCCUGUUAACUCUGUGUUCCAGGGAAUCCAGUGUCCUCUUCAGGCUUCUGUAGGUACAUGGUGCACAGAACUCAUACAAGCAUAUAUACAUACACAUAAAAACUAAUUUCUUAAAAAGUGGGAGCAUACAACAGACAUUUUAUCUUGUGUGUUCCUGUGGAGUAAGAGUGGAGUUCUAGCCUGGCGGAUGGGGCACGGCGCACUUGUGCUUGCAGUGGGAGAACUGUAGCAGUAGCCCUAGCUUUCCAUUGGUGGGAUGCCGUACCAGCUCAAGAGACAUGGUUUCAUGUGAGUUCUACCUGCUGGACACUUUCCUCUGCCUGUGUGUGUGUGUCUGUGUGUGUAUGUGAGUAUGUGUGUGUGUGUCUGUGUGUCUGUGUCUGUGUGUGUGUGUGUAGAGAGAGAGAUGUCAGAGGUCAACAUAAGGUAUCUUCUUCAACCAAAGCUUCUCAUUGAACUUGGACUUGGAGUGCCCCACUCAGGCUGGCUGGAGAUGAGUUGCAGAAUCUUUUGUCUUUGCCUCCCCAGUGCUGGGUUCACAGAAACUGCUGUGCCCUACCUGUUGUUGUUGUUUUAACUCGUGCUGGGAUCCGAGCUCAGGCCCUCAAGCCCCUGUGGCAGGCACAUGACUGACUGAGCCGUCUUACCUGUCCCUGGGUCUUUUUCUUACUACUGAAGUAAUGUGUGUUUACUGUACACAGCUAGAACACAGUGAAAAUAAGCUUAGCAGAAUGCCAUGCUCUAAGGCUAAUCAUGUUUGUGUAUGUUGGGUUAUAUUUUGGGGCAUGGGGGUGGGACCUGGUUUGCUUAAAAAACAAAAACCAAGACUCCUGUCAUGGCCUGGAACUCACACUGGCCUCAGACUUGUGGUUGAUCCUCCAGCCUAAACCUAUGGACCGGGGUAGGAUUACAAAUCACCUGUUUUUUCCUUCCUUCCUUCCUUCCUUCCUUCCUCCUUCCUUCCUUCCUUCCUUCCUUCCCCUUUAAGUAAAGCUAGGUGUGCCACACAUGUUUUAGUAACCUGCUCUUCACCAUUGCUUAGGACAUUCUUCCGUUGCGCUGCGGAUGGCCCUACAUCCUUAUUGGUUUUAGCUGACGAUAGGCAAGCACUCUAUCACUGAGCUGCACCCUAGCCUUGUCUUACCUUCUAAACAACUUUAGAGUAUAACUUUAUGUGCCACCAAAUACACUCAUUUCAAGUUUAUGUACUCCAUUGCAUUAUAAUAAAUCGUGUUAGUCAGGAUUCUCUAGAGAAACAGAACUAACAGAGUGUAUAUAUGCAGUAAAGUUAAUAGAAUGACUUACAGGCUGUGGUCCAACUAGUCCCAACAAUGGCUGUCUACCAGCAAUGGGUUCAAGAAUACAGUUGGUGUUCAGUCCACAAGGCUGGAUGUCUUUGCUGGUCUUCAGUGCACACUGGAAUCCUGAAGAAGGCGGCUCUGAUGCCAGUGAAGGAAUGGGCUUGCCAUCAAGAUUGAGAGCAAGCAGGCAAAGGGAGCAAGCUCCCUCUUCCAUAUUCUUUAUAUAGGCUGCAAGAAGAAAGUGUGGCCCACAUCAAAGGUGAACCUUCCCACCUCAAAAAGAUCCAGAUUAGAAGUGGGUCUUCCUACUUAAAAUGAUAUAAUU